GGGUCUUUGGAUCCUCAGGUCCUUCCACAACUAGUUCUUCUACAGUUCAAGUGAAAGGCGCUCUCUUCUCUCAACAAUUAAAUGAAACCCUAAGUCACUCCUAAAAAUCAGAAGAUCCUCAAAUCUGAAAAUCGACGAAUAGAACGAUAAUGCAGAGAUAAAGUUGAUGUUGUGGCUGGUCGAUCUUCUUCCUUCAAAUAUGCAUAAUCCAACGAAAGAAAAUGUUGAUUUCAACUUCGAGCUUGGACUUGUGAGUGGCGAACAAUCUUCAACCUUCGACCUUCGAGAGGUGGAGGUUGAUUGGGGAGAGAUUCUGUAUAGACAGCUGAUUGGUGGAAUCGACGACUGGUGCCUUUUGCUGUCGGGUGAUUUUUUUCGAACUAAUUAGUUCUUAUAGUUGAUUCUUGGUGCGCUUGUGUAAAAAAUUUGAAUCUUCUUUUCUCGUUCAAAUGUAUUUUGCCUGAAGUGUAUAGCCAAACAAACCCUUAGAAUAAGGCUUCAAGGGAUGGAGAGAUUUGGACCGAACCGGCGUCUUUCGGAGUGUUCGUACUUUUCAAGCCUUCUUUUUCUCGAGAUGGGAGCUGUGGAAAGAAUGAGAUUUGAAGAGGUCCAUAAUAUUUUUGACACGAUAUGGCGAAGGGUUUCGCUAGAGACACAUUUGAAAAGAUCCCAAGGAUUACAAUUUGUAAAGAUGAAAAUGUUGAUGAUUAUGGGCGAGACUCUCAUCUUCAGUUGUCUUCGGUUAGCCCUUAUCUUGGGCUGAUCAGAAUGUGCAGCAAGAGUACAUUCGAGGAAUCAAUUCCUCGAAUUUCAAUCACGAUAAACUGAAGAAAUAAGCUACUCUUGUAUGCUAUCAGUCCAUUGAUCUGUUGGUAAUAUGGAUUGCAUCAUUUGAACGCCACUUUAAUAAGUUGAGGUUUUCUCUGCAGAUUCAGGAUGAUGAUCUUCCUAAUUCAAAAAAUUCAAGUGUGAGUUGAAAGUAUAGGAAUGGGCAAGAUGACGCUGAUGCUCCUCCAGAGGGAAUGCCUACCGAUCAGGGCAUUCAUUCAAAUGUUGCACAAUAGCUGGAGGAUGGGCUCAACGAUAUUCAUGAUCUAGAGAAUUCGUUUGCUGCAUUUCUUGUGAAACCUCUUCGGGCACUAAAGUAUGGCGCAUCUGGUUUGGACAAGCUAGAAAGGCAAAGCACAUUUUGUUUUGGACUUAAAAUCAGAUCAUCCUGCAAUGCAAUGGGAAUAUUUUCAUUGAUAUUUUGCACCUUUGUAAAUUACAUUUUUUAGUAUAUUGGUAUAUACUUAGCUCGUUGCUCGUUACUUUUAGGAAACAAUGCUAAUGCACAAGGAGUUGGUGCAUACUAGUGGCCUUAACAAACUUUUAGUGGAACUUCAAAUCAAAGUAGUUAUCGACUUGAAUGAGAGGAAGGAAUUAUGGACUUUGUCACGAUUGCAAAAGCAACACUCAAAACUUUGGACAAUGUCAAACAAAACGUCGAUGCCCUUUGUAUAAAUAGAACAUCGAAAAUAUUUUUCCCAAUGCACCUGACUUUCCACAGAGUAAAAGGAAUCGCAAAGUUUGAUGGUAAAUGAAAGGGUUCGACACGAACGGGUGAUUUGAGUUAUAUUUGUGGUAGAUAGACUACUAUGAUUUCAAUUUGAAUUUUCUAUAUAGGUUAUUGUAACAUACGAAUGGUUAGGUCAUUGUAGGUUAUAGGAAGUAUGGUUAAUUUUGUCAAAAUUGUUUGAUAA